rnacentral:rRNA from 1 species
AGGGGGCAAGCGUUAUCCGGAUUUACUGGGUGUAAAGGGAGCGCAGGCGGCAGCCCAAGUCUGAUGUGAAAGCCCGGGGCCCAACCCCGGGACUGCAUUGGAAACUGGGCAGCUGGAGUGCCGGAGGGGUAAGCGGAAUUCCUAGUGUAGCGGUGAAAUGCGUAGAUAUUAGGAGGAACACCAGUGGCGAAGGCGGCUUACUGGACGGCAACUGACGCUGAGGCUCGAAAGCGUGGGGAGCAA